UGCCAGCAGCCGCGGUAAUACGUAGGGGGCAAGCGUUAUCCGGAUUUACUGGGUGUAAAGGGUGCGUAGGCGGUCAAGUAAGUCAGAUGUGAAAGCCCGAAGCUCAACUUCGGGACUGCAUUUGAAACUGCUUGACUAGAAUACAGGAGAGGUAAGUGGAAUUCCUAGUGUAGCGGUGAAAUGCGUAGAUAUUAGGAGGAACACCAGUGGCGAAGGCGACUUACUGGACUGUUAUUGACGCUGAGGCACGAAAGCGUGGGGAGCGAACAGGAUUAGAUA
rnacentral:rRNA from 1 species